CACGCCGUAAACGAUGAGUGCUAGGUGUCGGGGGUUCACACCCUCGGUGCCGGAGUUAACGCAUUAAGCACUCCGCCUGGGGAGUACGGUCGCAAGACUGAAACUCAAAGGAAUUGACGGGGACCCGCACAAGCAGCGGAGCAUGUGGUUUAAUUCGAAGCAACGCGAAGAACCUUACCAGGACUUGACAUCCCUUUGACCGGUCUUUAACCAGACCUUUCCCUUCGGGGACAAAGGAGACAGGUGG
rnacentral:rRNA from 1 species